CGGUGCCCUGGGCCCCGGGAGGUGCGCAGGCUCCCAACUCUGGGAAGUGAGCGCGGGGAUGCUGGCGAGGCUCGGAGCGUGUGGCCGGGAGCGGAGGGCACGCCUGCGGUCUUAAAUGACUGGGAUGUAUUGUAAUGACAUUAUCUGUUUAGGUGUCCCAGCCGCCCCCUGGGCCUGAAGCAUCAGCCCUGAUCCCCUGCUUGGGCAGAAUGUUGGAGGGUGAGGAGCUUCCUACCCGCCCAGGAAAAACUGUGCUCAGAGUGUUCUUUCUACACCUUUUCUCCCAGCGGUUCCCAGCGGCUCUGGUGAUCCACGGGGUAACCUGCCGGCGAAUACCCCCCCGUCUUGAUGUCCUUCCUUUCCCUGGCUCACUUCCCCAGCCACCUAGGACAGCUUCCCCGGCCGGGCUCAGCCCUCUUACCGACGCUGGGAAACAGGUUCCAUUAUUGUCCCCAUUUUGCAGAGGUGGUCUGAUUUCCCCCCAAAAGAAGCCACUGAGGAAUUUGGAGCAGGUGAGUGAUGCGGUCAGAUUCAAGCUCAAAAUCAAGUUCAAAAGACCAUUCCGAUGCGAACGAGAGGAAGGUUGGGAUGUUGUCUUCUCCCUGAGCUGAGAGACUUCACACUCGAGUCCUCCUGUGUUCACUGCCGCUGUCACCUAGGAAGUGACAGGCUUAUCAAGGACUGGGAGAAAGGGAUGGGUCAGAAGGUCCCUUCUUUCUCCUGGGGCGGCUUGGCCUCCAGCUCAGGCCCAGUGCCACUCUUGGGUAGACAGGCCCACCGGCCACACCGCUGCCACCUCUGAUUUCUGUUGCCAGGCCUGGUGGCUGGCACCCCACCAGGGAGGGGUCCGGGCUUGCUUAAGAUGUGGCAAGAAGCGGUGGAAAGUCUACUAUCCAAGAGGUUUGCCCCCGAGGGGAGUUGGCUGAUGACACACAGCGGACAUGAGAGCGUGGCUGGGCCGCCUUCCGUGGCCCACACACAGGGCGCUGCUCCCGUUCCGGCCUAUCUCUGUGUCCGGGCAACUCUGACCAGCUAGGGGGUGAGGCGGACAAAACGUUCCUUCGGGCCUCUCAAAUGUUUUUCUUUAAGACUUAGGGAGAUCGUUGGGCCUGGUUGAGCACUGCAAGGAGUAGGAAUCUUCAGAGGGCUCGGGCGGAUUCGGAAUUGCUUAUGUCAGGGGCGCCUGGGUGGCUCAGUCCGCGAAGUGUCCGAGUCUUGACUCUUGAUGUCGGCUCAGGUCACGAUCGCACGGUUCGUGACAUGGAACCCCGUGUCGGGCUCUGUGCUGACCGUGCGGAGCCUGCUUGGGAUUCUCUCUCUGCCCCUUCUCAGCUCGCUCACGCGUGUGUGUGCUCGCGCGCGCGCACUCUCUCUCUCUCAAAAUAAGUAAAUAAACCUAAACAAAUAGAAUUGCGUGUGUCAUUUAUGCAUUCAUCCAUGUCACAAACACGUGCUGAGCAUCUGUUGUGUUUCAGACAUCGUCAGAUGCUGGGAUAGCAGACAGUCGAGGCAUGGUCCCUAUCUGCAAGCAGCUUUUAGUCUAGAAGCCACAUACGCCAAUCACAGGUGCCACGACAGACACCUGCAGGGUAGAGGAAGGAACCCCUUCAGCGAACUUACAUGGGAAAAGGUCAGAGGAAAAUUAUUCUGUACCCUAAUGGGAAGUCUUAGCCCGUCCAGGCUGGCAUCGCAAAAUACCGCAGAGUGGCUGGCUUACAAACAACAGAAAUUGAUUGCUGAUGGUUCUGGAGGCUGGGAGUCUGAGAUGCCAGCAUGGCCGGGGCUGGUGAGAGCCCUCUUCCCAGCCACAGACUUCAUGCCGUGUCCUCGCAGGGCGGAAGGGGCGGGGAAGCUCUCUGGGGUCUCUGUUGUCAGGGUGGGAAUCUCAUUGACGGAGACUUUCAGGAGUAAAACUAACGAAUCACCGAGGUAGUACUUAGUACAAGUUUAUUGCGCCUGCACCAAAAAGACAGUUUGCAAACUGGGAGCCCUCAAACCGAAGCAUGAGAGGGAGGCUCAGGCGUGCAUUGUUAUAAAGCAGCUUAGACAGCGUGGAGGCAGUGACUGCUUAUUCUUUACAGUGAUGGGUUAUAAUACUACAAGUUUCUUAAGUGACAAGGAAAUGGGCAGUGCCUACCUCACAUUAUCCUGGGGAAACAGGUCACAUGUUGCUUAUAAUUUCCAGAGGCAGAAGCAAGAAAUGGCCCAGGUCAAGCUAGCCUUGCAAAAUAAGCUAAAUCAGGCUUUAUUGUAUGACUAAACUGGGUUUUUUUUUUUGUUUUUUGUUUUUUUUUCCCGCUUGGGGAACUUUCAAGGCUGGUCUUGAUGUGGUUUUUAUUUUAACAGUUUCAACUUACAGGGGCACCUGAGGGGCUCAGGCAGUGAAGCGUCCGACUAAGGCUCGGGCCAUGAUCUCAUGGU